UACGUAGGGUGCGAGCGUUGUCCGGAAUUAUUGGGCGUAAAGGGCUCGUAGGCGGUUUGUCGCGUCGGGAGUGAAAACUCAGGGCUUAACCCUGAGCCUGCUUCCGAUACGGGCAGACUAGAGGUAUGCAGGGGAGAACGGAAUUCCUGGUGUAGCGGUGAAAUGCGCAGAAUAUCAGGAGGAACACCGGUGGCGAAGGCG
rnacentral:rRNA from 1 species